rnacentral:rRNA from 1 species
GUCUACGGCCAUGCCAUCGUGAACAAGCCCAAUGUCUAAUCUCGGAAGCUAAGCAGGGUCGGGCCAGGUUUGUACUUGGAUGGGAGACCACCUAGGAAGAGCAGAUGCUGUAGGCA